CGCGUAGGCGGAUAUUACAGUCAGGCGUGAAAUUCCUGGGCUCAACCUGGGGGCUGCGUUUGAUACGUGAUGUCUGGAGUUCGGAAGAGGGUCGUGGAAUUCCCAGUGUAGAGGUGAAAUUCGUAGAUAUUGGGAAGAACACCGGUGGCGAAGGCGGCGACCUGGUCCGAUACUGACGCUGAGGCGCGAAAGCGUGGGGAGCAAACAGGAUUAGAUACCCUGGUAGUCCACGCUGUAAACGAUGUGCGCUGGAUGUUGGGUGACAUAGUCACUCAGUGUCGUAGCUAACGCGAUAAGCGCACCGCCGUGGGGAGUACGGCCGCAAGGUUGAA
rnacentral:rRNA from 1 species